AUAGUUACCUGGCAAGGGAGAUACCAUGAUCACAAAGGUGGUUUUUCAGGGUGAGUCUUAUCCACUAGACUCCAAAUGUGCUGACCUGUGAUUUCCCCAAAUGUGGGAAACUUCACUGCAUAAUUUGUGGUAGUAGGGGACUGCAUUUUUGCUUUCCCCUG